rnacentral:rRNA from 1 species
GUCGAGAAUCUUUCACAAUGGGGGCAACCCUGAUGGAGCGACGCCGCGUGGAGGAUAAGGUCUUCGGAUUGUAAACUCCUGUCAUGCGUGAACAAGGUUGCUUGGUUAAUACCUGGACAAAUUGAUGGUAACGCAAGAGGAAGAGACGGCUAACUCUGUGCCAGCAGCCGCGGUAAUACAGAGGUCUCAAGCGUUGUUCGGAAUCACUGGGCGUAAAGGGUGCGUAGGUGGCGUGGUAAGUCAGAUGUGAAAGCCCGGGGCUCAACCUCGGAACUGCAUCAGAUACUGCCAUGCUAGAGUACUGGAGAGGUGACUAGAAUUCUCGGUGUAGCAGUGAAAUGCGUAGAUAUCGAGAGGAAUACCAAAGGCGUAGGCAGGUCACUGGACAGUUACUGACACUGAGGCACGAAGGCCAGGGGAGCGAACGGGAUUAGAAACCCCGGUAGUCC